UAUAUUAUGGGAUAUUGGUACGGUUCAAUUAGAAAUCAGUGCUUUGGUUGAUAAAGAUCUGUUAUUUUUUAUUGAGCCGUGCCAAUAUCACAUAUUAAGUA
rfam:Morus notabilis contig6279, whole genome shotgun sequence.